rnacentral:rRNA from 1 species
GACGAACGCUGGCGGCGUGCUUAACACAUGCAAGUCGAACGGAAAGGCCCUGCUUUUGUGGGGUGCUCGAGUGGCGAACGGGUGAGUAACACGUGAGUAACCUGCCCUUGACUUUGGGAUAACUUCAGGAAACUGGGGCUAAUACCGGAUAGGAGCUCCUGCUGCAUGGUGGGGGCUGGAAAGUUUCGGCGGUUGGGGAUGGACUCGCGGCUUAUCAGCUUGUUGGUGGGGUAGUGGCUUACCAAGGCUUUGACGGGUAGCCGGCCUGAGAGGGUGACCGGCCACAUUGGGACUGAGAUACGGCCCAGACUCCUACGGGAGGCAGCAGUGGGGAAUAUUGCACAAUGGGCGGAAGCCUGAUGCAGCAACGCCGCGUGCGGGAUGACGGCCUUCGGGUUGUAAACCGCUUUCGCCUGUGACGAAGCGUGAGUGACGGUAAUGGGUAAAGAAGCACCGGCUAACUGCGUG